rnacentral:rRNA from 1 species
CCUACGGGGGGCAGCAGUGAGGAAUAUUGGUCAAUGGACGAGAGUCUGAACCAGCCAAGUAGCGUGAAGGAUGACUGCCCUAUGGGUUGUAAACUUCUUUUAUAUGGGAAUAAAACGUUCCACGUGUGGGAUUUUGUAUGUACCAUAUGAAUAAGGAUCGGCUAACUCCGUGCCAGCAGCCGCGGUAAUACGGAGGAUCCGAGCGUUAUCCGGAUUUAUUGGGUUUAAAGGGACCGUAGGUGGAUUGUUAAGUCAGUUGUGAAAGUUUGCGGCUCAACCGUAAAAUUGCAGUUGAAACUGGCAGUCUUGAGUACAGUAGAGGUGGGCGGAAUUCGUGGUGUAGCGGUGAAAUGCUUAGAUAUCACGAAGAACUCCGAUUGCGAAGGCAGUUCACUGGACUGCAACUGACACUGAGGCUCGAAAGUGUGGGUAUCAAACAGGAUUAGAUACCCUGGUAGUC